rnacentral:lncRNA from 1 species
CAGCCGGGAGGGGCUGGGAGAGGCACCAGGCAGGGAUGAUGGGCUCUACAGCCUGCCUGUAGAGAGCUCUAAACUCACAGGACCUUCUAGGGCCCCACCCAGAAGCCCACCAGGGUUCCGUGAGUUCCUGCACCAGCUCCAGGAGAAGUGCGCCGAGGAGCCGGAGCCACUGACAUCCCCAGCACCGCAACAUCAAAGGGGUGUAUUAGAGCACUGCCCAGGGUCUCCGCGGUGUCCCAACUGUUCAUUCCUCCCAGACCUGUGGGGCCAGUCAUCGCACCUCCAGGAUAGUCUUACGAAGAUUUCGCUCCAGCAGACACCUAUUCUGGGGCCCCUGAAGGGUGAUCACUCACAAUUCACCACUGUCAGAAAGGCCAACCACAGGCCCCACGGUGCACAGGUCCCCAGGCUCAAGGCUGCGCUGACCCACAACCCCUCGGGGGAAGGCUCUAGGCCCUGCAGGCAGCGUUGCCCUUUCCGGGUGCGAUUCGCUGACGAGACCCUGCAGGACACAACGCUCCGCUACUGGGAGCGCAGACGCUCAGGGUGCCCAGGAGACGUGGGGGCCAGCCUGCUGCUUCCCAGCCCUUUCCAUCCUGGGGCAGCCAUUGGGGAACUCAGGGUCCUUGGACCACCUCGCAUGGCUGCUGUUGGACAGGAAGAGCCCCCAUCCCUGAGACAGCCCUCCCUGAAGCCCUCAACGCUCUCAGCAUGGUUUCUGGGAUUUCUAUGAUGGGUCCAACAGAGCGUCAUUGUGAACCAGAAGGCCGCCCUGCCAGUGGCGUCCGAGCGGGUGUUUGGGAGUGUCGGAAAACGGCUGGAGAGUUUGCCCAAAGCCCUGUACCCUGGGGCCAAGGAGGAGACCCUGGCCAGCUCCUCGUGUUGGGACUGCGCUGGCCUGUCCACCCAGAAGACACAGGGCUACCUUUCUGAGGACACCUCCAUGAACAGCAGCCUGCCCUUCUGUUCAUGGAAGAAGGCCGCUGCUCAGAGGCCGCGAAGCAGCCUCCGAGCCUUCUUGGACCCGCACAGAAACCUGGAGCAGGAGUCCCUCCUGCCCAACCGGGUGCUGCAGUCGGUCCUGAAGCAAGGCUGCCCUAAGGGGUACCAUCUCCUCCUGGCCUCCGCAACACUGCAGCCAGAUAAGAGGUGAACACUCGCGAACCCAAGGCCAGGGGCACACAUGGGCCAGGCAAUGAGGAGCGUCCUUCCUUGCCCCACAAAUAAAGGCACAUCCCAGGUGGCUGGGACCUGCCAGUAGGUGUCACACCACAAGCCUUUCUGGGUACCUGGUUGCUGG